AACGAACGCUGGCGGCAUGCCUAACACAUGCAAGUCGAACGAGACCUUCGGGUCUAGUGGCGCACGGGUGCGUAACGCGUGGGAACCUGCCCUUAGGUUCGGGAUAACUCCCCGAAAGGGGUGCUAAUACCGGAUAAUGUCUUCGGACCAAAGAUUUAUCGCCUUUGGAUGGGCCCGCGUUGGAUUAGCUAGUUGGUAGGGUAAAAGCCUACCAAGGCGACGAUCCAGAGCUGGUCUGAGAGGAUGAUCAGCCACACUGGGACUGAGGCACGGCCCAGACGCCUACGAGAGGCAGCAGUGGGGAAUAUUGGACAAUGAGCGAAAGGCUGAUCCAGCAAUGCCGCGUGAGUGAUGAAGGCCUUAGGGUUGUAAAGCUCUUUUACCCGGGAUGAUAAUGACAGUACCGGGAGAAUAAGCUCCGGCUAACUCCGU
rnacentral:rRNA from 1 species